AAGUGCAACGCGAACGUUCCUAGUAACGGGAGGAGUUACGCGAAGCAGGAAUAUGGCCAUUGCUUCCACGCAGCACAUCCCGAAGGCAGAAAACACUACAACAGAGUCAGCCUCCUGGCCUGUUGACUUUAUCCUGGGACCAGCAGUGGCACCAAAAAACAUUUAGGGAGGGGUCAAAGAAUCACAACAUCUGAGAGCAGGAAGGGGCCUCAAGCCAUCUAGCCCGGCACAGUCACCCUGAUGUCAACCGGAGAAGCGAGAAAUGGGAAACAGAGCAGCCCAGUUUGCCAUAAUAAAGCCAUUCUGGGACUCUCAA